CCUACGGGUGGCAGCAGUGGGGAAUAUUGCACAAUGGGGGAAACCCUGAUGCAGCGACGCCGCGUGAGUGAAGAAGUAUUUCGGUAUGUAAACCUCUAUCAGCAGGGAAGAAAAUGACGGUACUUGAUUAAGAAGCAGCGGCUAACCAAGUGCCAGCAGCCGCGGUAAUACGUAGGGGGCAAGCGUGAUCCGGAUUUACUGGGUGUAAAGGGAGUGUAGACGGCUGCACAAGUCUGGUGUGAAGUGCAGGGGCUUAACCCCGGAACUGCUUUGGAAACUGUGCAGCUAGAGUGCAGGAGAGGUGAGUAGAAUUCCUAGUGUAGCGGUGAAAUGCGUAGAUAUUAGGAGGAACACCAGUGGCGAAGGCGGGUUACUGGACUGUAACUGACGUUGAGGCUCGAAAGCGUGGGGAGCAAACAGGAUUAGAUACCCCUGUAGUC
rnacentral:rRNA from 1 species